rnacentral:rRNA from 1 species
AUGACCCACUGGAAGAAUGGCACCUACUUCGGCACGCUCGUGGUGUUCGACGACCCCAUGACGGUGGGGAAGGUGCUACCCGUGGCGGGGGUGGAGCCCGCGGAGCGCGCCCAGGGCUUCUACUUCUACGACAAACUGGAGUCAUAUACCUCCUGGUUUGGCUUCUCCAUCGUCUUCAACUCCACGGCACACAAGGGCACCCUCAACCUCGUCGGCGCGGACCUCAUGGAUGACAAGACGCAGGACCUCUCCGUCGUCGGCGGCACCGGCGACUUCUUCAUGGCGCGCGGCAUCGCCACGCUCUGCCUCGAUGCCUCCAAGGGAACCGUCUAUUUCCGUCUACAGAUGGACAUCAAGCUCUAUGAGUGCUACGUCUGA